rnacentral:rRNA from 1 species
UCUGCUCACUUUUUUAAAUUGCUGUGGUAUUUUGACUAUACAAAGGUAUUGAAAUAAGAUUUUAAUUGAAUGCUAAGAGAAUGGAAUUUCAGAAAAAAACUUUUUUCAAGUUAAAAAUUGAAAUUUUUUUAAUUUGUGCAGAAACAAUUAUUAAUAUUAAGGACAAGAAGACCCUAUGAAUUUAUAAAUUUUAUUUAAUAUGUAACUACUAUUAAAAAAAUUUUAGCUGGGGCGGCGGAAAAAUAUUUAAAACUUUUUUAAAAUAAAAUGAUCCAUUAUUAAUGAUUAUAUGUUAAAUACUCUAGGGAUAACAGCG